AGGGAAUCUUCCGCAAUGGACGAAAGUCUGACGGAGCAACGCCGCGUGAGUGAAGAAGGUUUUCGGAUCGUAAAGCUCUGUUGCCAGGGAAGAACGUCUGCUAGAGUAACUGCUAGCGGAGUGACGGUACCUGAGAAGAAAGCCCCGGCUAACUACGUGCCAGCAGCCGCGGUAAUACGUAGGGGGCAAGCGUUGUCCGGAAUUAUUGGGCGUAAAGCGCGCGCAGGCGGCUGUUUAAGUCUGGUGUAUAACCUCGGGGCUUAACCCCGGGUCGCACUGGAAACUGGACGGCUUGAGUGCAGAAGAGGAGAGUGGAAUUCCACGUGUAGCGGUGAAAUGCGUAGAGAUGUGGAGGAACACCAGUGGCGAAGGCGACUCUCUGGGCUGUAACUGACGCUGAGGCGCGAAAGCGUGGGGAGCAAAC
rnacentral:rRNA from 1 species